rnacentral:rRNA from 1 species
AGAGUUUGAUCAUGGCUCAGAUUGAACGCUGGCGGCAGGCCUAACACAUGCAAGUCGAGCGGAUGAAGAGAGCUUGCUCUCUGAUUCAGCGGCGGACGGGUGAGUAAUGCCUAGGAAUCUGCCUGGUAGUGGGGGACAACGUUUCGAAAGGAACGCUAAUACCGCAUACGUCCUACGGGAGAAAGCAGGGGACCUUCGGGCCUUGCGCUAUCAGAUGAGCCUAGGUCGGAUUAGCUAGUUGGUGAGGUAGUGGCUCACCAAGGCGACGAUCCGUAACUGGUCUGAGAGGAUGAUCAGUCACACUGGAACUGAGACACGGUCCAGACUCCUACGGGAGGCAGCAGUGGGGAAUAUUGGACAAUGGGCGAAAGCCUGAUCCAGCCAUGCCGCGUGUGUGAAGAAGGUCUUCGGAUUGUAAAGCACUUUAAGUUGGGAGGAAGGGCAUGCACCUAAUACGUGUGUGUCUUGACGUUACCGACAGAAUAAGCACCGGCUAACUCUGUGCCAGCAGCCGCGGUAAUACAGAGGGUGCAAGCGUUAAUCGGAAUUACUGGGCGUAAAGCGCGCGUAGGUGGUUCGUUAAGUUGAAUGUGAAAUCCCCGGGCUCAACCUGGGAACUGCAUCCAAAACUGGCGAGCUAGAGUAUGGUAGAGGGUGGUGGAAUUUCCUGUGUAGCGGUGAAAUGCGUAGAUAUAGGAAGGAACACCAGUGGCGAAGGCGACCACCUGGACUGAUACUGACACUGAGGUGCGAAAGCGUGGGGAGCANACAGGAUUAGAUACCCUGGUAGUC